GGUCCCAUAACUCAGUUGGUUAGAGUGUCGUACUAAUAGUAUAACUGAUCCACCACGUUAUAACAUUGGUAAUGCGAAAGUCGUGAGUUCGAGCCUCACUGGGACCA